AAAUUGAAGAGUUUGAUCAUGGCUCAGAUUGAACGCUGGCGGCAGGCCUAACACAUGCAAGUCGAACGGUAACAGAAAGAAGCUUGCUUCUUUGCUGACGAGUGGCGGACGGGUGAGUAAUGUCUGGGAAACUGCCUGAUGGAGGGGGAUAACUACUGGAAACGGUAGCUAAUACCGCAUAACGUCGCAAGACCAAAGAGGGGGACCUUCGGGCCUCUUGCCAUCGGAUGUGCCCAGAUGGGAUUAGCUUGUUGGUGGGGUAACGGCUCACCAAGGCGACGAUCCCUAGCUGGUCUGAGAGGAUGACCAGCCACACUGGAACUGAGACACGGUCCAGACUCCUACGGGAGGCAGCAGUGGGGAAUAUUGCACAAUGGGCGCAAGCCUGAUGCAGCCAUGCCGCGUGUAUGAAGAAGGCCUUCGGGUUGUAAAGUACUUUCAGCGGGGAGGAAGGGAGUAAAGUUAAUACCUUUGCUCAUUGACGUUACCCGCAGAAGAAGCACCGGCUAACUCCGUGCCAGCAGCCGCGGUAAUACGGAGGGUGCAAGCGUUAAUCGGAAUUACUGGGCGUAAAGCGCACGCAGGCGGUUUGUUAAGUCAGAUGUGAAAUCCCCGGGCUCAACCUGGGAACUGCAUCUGAUACUGGCAAGCUUGAGUCUCGUAGAGGGGGGUAGAAUUCCAGGUGUAGCGGUGAAAUGCGUAGAGAUCUGGAGGAAUACCGGUGGCGAAGGCGGCCCCCUGGACGAAGACUGACGCUCAGGUGCGAAAGCGUGGGGAGCAAACAGGAUUAGAUACCCUGGUAGUCCACGCCGUAAACGAUGUCGACUUGGAGGUUGUGCCCUUGAGGCGUGGCUUCCGGAGCUAACGCGUUAAGUCGACCGCCUGGGGAGUACGGCCGCAAGGUUAAAACUCAAAUGAAUUGACGGGGGCCCGCACAAGCGGUGGAGCAUGUGGUUUAAUUCGAUGCAACGCGAAGAACCUUACCUGGUCUUGACAUCCACGGAAGUUUUCAGAGAUGAGAAUGUGCCUUCGGGAACCGUGAGACAGGUGCUGCAUGGCUGUCGUCAGCUCGUGUUGUGAAAUGUUGGGUUAAGUCCCGCAACGAGCGCAACCCUUAUCCUUUGUUGCCAGCGGUCCGGCCGGGAACUCAAAGGAGACUGCCAGUGAUAAACUGGAGGAAGGUGGGGAUGACGUCAAGUCAUCAUGGCCCUUACGACCAGGGCUACACACGUGCUACAAUGGCGCAUACAAAGAGAAGCGACCUCGCGAGAGCAAGCGGACCUCAUAAAGUGCGUCGUAGUCCGGAUUGGAGUCUGCAACUCGACUCCAUGAAGUCGGAAUCGCUAGUAAUCGUGGAUCAGAAUGCCACGGUGAAUACGUUCCCGGGCCUUGUACACACCGCCCGUCACACCAUGGGAGUGGGUUGCAAAAGAAGUAGGUAGCUUAACCUUCGGGAGGGCGCUUACCACUUUGUGAUUCAUGACUGGGGUGAAGUCGUAACAAGGUAACCGUAGGGGAACCUGCGGUUGGAUCAC
rnacentral:rRNA from 1 species